rnacentral:lncRNA from 1 species
GAAGUAACUGCUGCACUCAACUUUUCUUUUGCAUUGUUAAAUUUCCAUCUUUCCUUUGGUCUUUGAUUGCCAGUGAACCGAGGAAUAAUAAAUCAUACAAAAAAUCACCAAAUUGAUAUGCUUUUUCUUUCUAGGAGUUACAUAUCCAGAGAAACAACUGGUAUCCCAAUAAUUAUAGCUUUGGAUAAAAUUGGCCAUAGUUCAGCAUUCACUUCCCUGCAUAAUUGAAUUUGAACUCAACCGCAUAAUGAUGAAGUUGAGAAAAAAACCAAGUAUACCAUAUAGUAGUAUUCUUGUUAUUGUCCUAAAUAACUGAACCCUGAUCAUUUAGUUGGCUCUGUCUUUUCAAUUUUCCCAUGCAGCUAUCUUGAUAUGCUUGAGAAUAACCCANAUAUUGACCGCAAUGAGCCUCUGGAGGAAUUCAUCAAGUCAAGGGGUUACUCAGAAUUAUUUCAGAAAGCCUAUCUUGUGAGUUCAAUGCUGUUAUAUGUAUUUUCUACAUAUAUAUAUCAUUUCUAUGAGAAGUGUAUAUGUAUAAUAUCCAAUGCCUUUAGAUUCCAAUUUGUUCUUCUAUCUGGUCUUGCGCUUCUGAAGGAGUUAUGAGCUUCUCUGCUUUCUCAGUGCUUUCGUUCUCUCGCAACCACCAUCUACUUCAG